rnacentral:misc_RNA from 1 species
CUCUCUGUCCCUCUCGUCUCGCUUCUUCCCCAACCUGCUCGGUUUCACCAGAUCGCGCCGGACACGGUCGUUGGGCCACCACCAUGAUCUCGACGCGGCUCGCUCUCGGCCACUCGGGUUGGUGGUGGUGAGAGGUCCACAACCACGUCCUAACUCCACCACUUCUCUCCUCUACGACGCGAGCAAGGGCGCCACCGACUGCGGCGUCGGUGGGAACUGGGCCUCGGCCUCCCCAUCUCUCUGAUACCAGGGCAGAUCAGAGCUGGAACUGAAGGUGGCGGGAGCCGAGUGAUCCGGCGGUGAGCUGAGCGGGGCGGGAUGGCGGCGGAGCAGGGGCGGUCGCUGGCGGAGACGCCCACCUGGUCCGUGGCAACCGUCACCACGCUCAUGGUCGCUGUCUGCUUCCUCGUCGAGCGCUCCCUCUCGCCCUUCGCCAAGUGGCUGCGCAAGACCAAGCGGAAGGCCAUGCUCGCCGCGCUCGAGAAGAUCCGCGAAGAGCUGAUGCUGCUCGGAGUCAUCUCGCUGCUGCUCAGCCAGACGACGCGCUUCAUAUCGGAGAUCUGCGUGCCGUCCUCGCUCUUCACCAGCCGCUUCUACAUCUGCUUCGAGAGCGACUACCAGGACCUGCUGCGCAACACGGAUGCCAACCAGACGGCGCUCGAUAGGAACAUGUUCGGUGGCCAGCGGCUGCAUGUCUGU